GCGUCGGCCGUCGCAUCGCAUGGAAAAUCGUACCGUCUGUCUCGGCCUUUAAUCGCGCGACCACUGCUAGUCGCCGGUGUGAACGAGCCUUUCGCAUGCCUAUACGCAACCUACUCAUGCCGCAACGAACCGGACAUUUCUAUGCGCGGAUUUCUUUCAAGGUUUGAGCAUUCUUUAUUGCUAAGUGCCAGCGACGGGGCACUUACACACCCAUCACCCGCUUUUCCUGUGCCAAAAGGCUCGAAAAUUUACCGUUCCGAUUUCCUCCGUAAAGGCCGAGACAGACGGUACGAUUUUCCAUGCGAUGCGACGCCCGACACGGCGGUGGGGAAACCCGAAUGGUGACCUUUCAUAGCAUCGGACAGCCACCAUUCCCUCUCCCCCACCGCCGCGUCGGCCGGCACAUCGCGUGGAAAAUCGUACCCUCUGUCUCGCGCUUAAAGGGAGAGAUAGACGCUACGAUUUUCCAUGCGAUGCGACGUCCGACACGGCGGUGGGGGAGAGGGAAUGGUGGCUGUCCGAUACUAUGAAAGGUCACUAUUCCGGUUUCCUCACCGCCGUGUCGGACGUCGCUUAGCAUGGAAAAGCGUACCGUCUGUCUCGCCCUUAACCGCCUGAGCACACGAGUGCGGCGAAACUGCGCUAAACACGUGCACUUUCACCAGUGGUCAGCCAGAUAGCCAGCAGCUGCCACAGUACUGACAGCUGCCCUGCGUUCCCUCAAACGACCGUUCAAACAGUCACCCGUUCGACCAAUGUUGAGCUUUCCGCAUGACAAUGCAAUCAACUUAACCACUGCGACAAAGCCUUCAACAAAACGAGUGACAUGCUACUUGUCACAGCUACGAGCACCCUCCAUGUUGCACAUCCUGGAAAAAGUUUUUUCGGUGCGGUGAGCUACUGAAACGCCGCACUUUGCCUUCUGCAGUCUCAAGAAGGCCUUUUGGAGACAGUGCGACGCUUUGUGCAUGUACGGCACCGGUACAGGGCGCAUCUGAUUGCGCUGCUCACUCGGCCGAGUGGUUGGCCGUGCAUGCUUCACCUCUGAAAUGAGGCUGCAGACACUAUCGUGCCGUCAGGGAACCCGGUGCUUCGUAGUCUAUUGACCUGGUGCAUAACACUACAGGUGCUCACAGCAUUUCUGCAAGACGGUUCGAAGGCUAUUCACGGCCCUUUUGACUGUCUGCGAGUGGGCUGAAUCAUAGUUGAGUUUUUAAAGCACAGCUGUUGGGCUCCAAGUUGGCAAGUUGGCCGUGUGUCGCAGAUAUGAAAUUAUUAUCAUCACGAACCUCAGAGCACGUGCGCCAAUUUGUCCGGCGUGGGAUGCAAUUAGUCUGAUGGGCGAGAGAAGUGUUGGAACCUGCGUACCCGAAGGCGAGCGUCGCAACCACACGGCUAUCCAGGCACGUUAGCAGAGCAUAGCAUUGCCUUGUAUCGUGUAGUCUAGCAAUGGGAAAGGGUGAGGAGGAGGGGAGAGAUUAAAGCAUAGUACAGCAAGUGAAGAAAGACAAAAACAAAUGGAGAAAUAAGGUGAGAGAAGGAUGUAGAAAGAGCGAGAGAAAUAAAGGGACAAAAGGAAAGAAAAAGGUAAGAGAAAGAAAUAAACAGGUACAAAAAAAAAAGAGAGCCAGCAUAGCAAGAGGUGGGAGGGUAAAAAAGCACCAGCAACUCUGCUGUGACCCUGUAAGCUUCGCUUAUUUAUUUAUUUUUUCUUUACUUUGGGGGCAGUAUGUCAAGCAGAGUUCAUUAAAGCUAAUGCGGAUAUCGAGAAAAUGUAAACACCCAUCUACUGGCAUGUCAUGCGUCAACCUUAGGCACACGCUUUUAAAGCUUCCAUUCAGGACAAAAUCCCUUAGAUCAGCCUUUCAUAAAAAUGAGAAAAUCAUGGACAUAUCGAAAAAUUUUUGCAACAAAAGGUUUCUCAACACACGCGUACACUUGCUUGUCAAAGUUGGAUAAAAAGAAAUCGCUUAAAACUGGCGCGAUGCGUAAUCCAAUAUCCCUUUGAACAAACGCAUCACCUUUAAAAUCAACAAGUGUAGAUGAAAGGUAAAAUUAAGCAUUUCCAGAAAAUUGGCAAUCUCAAUUCUCGAAGCGUUCUGAAAGGCAACGCGACCCUAAUCCCCUAUGCGAUCCCUAACCGCACUAAAUAGUUGAUCCUGCGGAAUAGAGGCGGGGCAACACAGUCAGGUGCGCCCUGUUACAUGCACAAAGCGUCGCGCCGUCUCGAAAAGGCAGCACUGCCUUCUUGAGAAGGCAAAGUGCGGCGUUUCAGUAGUUUUCACGGCACCGGAGAAACUUUCUUCAGGAUGUGCCGCAUGGAGGGGGCUCGAGGCUGUAGCGUGUCACUCGUUUUUGUUAAAGGCUUCGUCGCAGUUCCUUAGACUUUUUUUUUUUCCUUUUACCUAAGUCCCGCCCCUCUCUCACGCGCAGCCGACGCCUGCCGCCAUUUUCUUCUUAAUUCACCGAGCCACGCACGUCUAAGUACAAUAGCCACGCAUCUUUCAGCGGACAAUAUGCUAGAGUGACGCGCCUUUCUCCUCCUCUCAUUAGUGAGCGGUGGACGCGUUUCACCAGGUGCUUGAAAAGCGUUAGGAAGAACAUGGCUACCGAAAACGAGCGUUAGCCAAUGAGGUUCAUCGGUGACGCUUCAAUGGUUGUCGGUACUUAAGAGGGAAAAAUCUAGCGAUUUUAGUCGCAGUGGUUAAGUUGAUUCCAUUGUCGUGCGGAAAGCGCAACAUUAGUCGAACGAGUUUGAGGGAACGCCGGGCAACUGUCAGUGCUGUAGCAGCUGCUGUCCAUCUGGCUGACCACUGCCGAAGCGGUAUGUGCACAUCGCAGUUUCACCGCACUCGUGUGAGGCGCUACGGAGGCGAUCGGACCGGCAAAUUUUUUAGGCGUUUUGCGUAGGAAAAGCGCGUGAUGGUGUCCCGUCGCUGGCACUCAGCAAUAGAGAAUGCGCACGCCUUGAAAGAAAUCCGCGCAUGGAACUGUGUAGUUCGGUGCGGCGUCAGUAGAUUGCGUAGGCAUGCGAACGGUUGAAAACAUUAGCGGUGAUUAUGGGAGGCAUUUCUAGAGCGAUUUCUUUUUUUACGUGUUGCGCAGAUUCCUGCGCAUCUUGUGAAUUAUGUUCUUUUUUUUCUGCAAGUAAAACUCCAGUUUCUUGUCUGUCUUGUCCUUUUUAGCGCUAAUUAGUUAUGUCUCAACUCACUUCUCUGAUAAGUAUUGGUACACGUCUGAUUGCUUUCAAGUGCAGUUGAUUUUAUGACUUCCUGAAAUUCUAAUGUCAGGUUGAGUGUUUCGAUGAGCGGAACACCGAGAAUUGGGCACACGAACAGCAAGGACGCAAGUGGCGCAAGCGCUUUUUGGUCUUUGUGUGUGGCCAUUGGGCGCUGUCUGUUCGGUUAGCCAAUUUACCCAAAUUUCGACUAUAUUUCAGCUGCUAUGAAAGCAGCGUAUUUGUUUCUUGUGCCCGUCCCUCGAGAUCCCGCUUUACCUCGAGUAGAGGCUGCUCAGGUGUAUGUAGCUUUCACGAGGGUUUUCUUGUCCGAAAUCGUUUCUUCGGUCAGGAGUUUGCCGACCACGUUUCGUCAUUGAGCAUCUUGCAAGCUCUUACUUUCUUCGUAGUCAUUAAAAUAAAUCUACCAGUGUGAUUAAACAUUUUAAGUCAAUAGGUAUUAGCCUUUACGAUAAGCAAAUUUAUCCUUUAUAAGCCAAGUUGACAGAAGGUUUCUUCUUUUCUGUGCGCGCCAUUUCUUUGUCGUCAUUAUUUGCGCUUGAAUAACCGGCUUAUUUUUCCUAGUUUUUUUUUUCUGUCACGAGGCUUUACGUGAUGUGAACUGCUUCUAAUAAAUACUAAACCUCCGAGAAUGUUUCUCCUUCUUGUCGGCUCAGCGCCCUGUGGUCCCCUUUUCCCCCUGGUUGCCAGCAGCGGUUGCCCUGCUUCGUUGCCGAAGCCAAGAGCGGUGUAAAGCUGUUUCGCUGCUCGUCGUAUGUCUCACAGGGGUGCUGCCUGUUGCGAAGGCAGUGAGUACACAGUCUCAUAUAAACAAACGUCGUGCUGCUUCAUUAAACGCUAUUCUGAAUGG
rnacentral:lncRNA from 1 species